AUUGUCAGUAGCCAACGUCUUAUACUCGGUAUUUUGCACAUACGGCUGCCCUACUGUUAUCCUCAGUGACCAAGGAAGAGAAUUUGUCAAUAAAGUUACUGAGGCACUCUUUAAAAGAACAAACACACAGCAUAGAAUCACUUCCGCCUAUCAUCCUCAAACUAAUGGCCUCACGGAGCGAUUCAAUCAGACAAUCUGUCGUUCUCUCAGCAAGUUAGUGAAUGAAGCACACAAUGAUUGGGAUACAAAGCUAGAAACUAUUCUGUUUGCAUACCGAGUGUCGAAACACCGAUCAACCGGCUAUUUGCCAUGCAUUCUUCAAGAUGUUUCGUCGUGAAGCUCGGCUGCCUAUAGAAGCAGAUGUAUAGAGCAAAACGAAAUAGACACUGUUGUGACCAGUGAAGAUAUAGAUACAGAGACAACUGCAGAUGCUUUUAUUGAGAAAAUGCUCAAGAGGCAAGAAGAUAUAAAGAGCAUAGCUGGUGAAAACAUAAAAAAAUCUCAAAAAAAGCAAAAGGAGUGCUAUGAUAAACGGCAUUCACCGGAGGUAUAUAAUUAUACAGCCCUAUAUAUUUAUAC